CCUUUUUCCAGCAUGGGAACCUGCAGUUCGCUGUAGUUCCCUGUCUGUAUCCAUGUCUUUUGCGCACUUGAACGUUUCCUCGGCGGCUUACCCCGUCGAAUGGACAACUAUAUAAACCUUUUUUGCAGUUGCAAUCAGCGUCUGAAUGAAUAUAUAAUAUUUA
rnacentral:misc_RNA from 1 species